rnacentral:rRNA from 1 species
AGACCCCCCUUCAAGUUUGAUCCUGCCUCCGGCGGCUGGAUCUCGUCCUUAUAGUUUGAUCCUGGCGGGGGAGUGCGCGUGGGAAUCUACCUGGUGGUGGGGGACAACUUGGGGAAACUCAAGCUAAUACCGCAUACGCCCUACGGGGGAAAGGAGGGGCUCUUCGGACCUUUCGCUAUCAGAUGAGCCUGCGUAGGAUUAGCUAGUUGGUAGGGUAAAGGCCUACCAAGGCGACCAUCCUUAGCUGGUCUGAGAGGAUGAUCAGCCACACUGGGACUGAAACACGGCCCAGACUCCUACGGGAGGCAGCAGUGGGGAAUAUUGGACAAUGGGGGCAACCCUGAUCCAACCAUGCCGCGUGUGUGAAGAAGGCCUUCGGGUUGUAAAGCACUUUCAGUGGUGAGGAAGGGUGGGAAGUUAAUACCUUUAUACAUUGACGUUAGCCACAGAAGAAGCACCGGCUAACUCCGUGCCAGCAACCGCGGUAAUACGGAGGGUGCAAGCGUUAAUCGGAAUUACUGGGCGUAAAGCGCGCGUAGGUGGUUCAGUCAAUCAGAUGUGAAAACCCCGGGCUUAACCUGGGAAUUGCCCCUGAUACUGCUGAACUAGAAUACAGUAGAGGGGAGUGGAAAUUCCUGUGUAGCGGUGAAAUGCGUAAAUAUAAGAAAGAACACCAGUGGGGAAGGCGACUCUCUGGACUGAUACUGACACUGAGGUGGGAAAGCGUGGGGAGCAAACAGGAUUAGAUACCCUGGUAGUCCACGCUGUAAACGAUGUCAACUAGCCGUUGGGACACUUGAUGUCUUAGUGGCGCAGCUAACGCGAUAAGUUGACCGCCUGGGGAGUACGGUCGCAAGAUUAAAACUCAAAUGAAUUGACGGGGGCCCGCACAAGCGGUGGAGCAUGUGGUUUAAUUUGACGCAACGCGAAGAACCUUACCUACUCUUGACAUCCAGAGAACUUUCCAGAGAUGGAUUGGUGCCUUCGGGAACUCUGAGACAGGUGCUGCAUGGCUGUCGUCAGCUCGUGUUGUGAAAUGUUGGGUUAAGUCCCGUAACGAGCGCAACCCUUGUCCUUACUUGCCAGCGGGUAAUGCCGGGAACUUUAAGGAGACUGCCGGUGACAAACCGGAGGAAGGUGGGGACGACGUCAAGUCAUCAUGGCCCUUACGAGUAGGGCUACACACGUGCUACAAUGGCCGGUACAGAGGGCCGCGAUACCGCGAGGUGGAGCAAAUCUCAGAAAACCGGUCGUAGUCCGGAUCGCAGUCUGCAACUCGACUGCGUGAAGUCGGAAUCGCUAGUAAUCGCGAAUCAGAAUGUCGCGGUGAAUACGUUCCCGGGCCUUGUACACACCGCCCGUCACACCAUGGGAGUGGGUUGCACCAGAAGUAGCUAGUCUAACCUUCGGGGGGACGGUUACCACGGUGUGAUUCAUUGCGGGGGGAAGACCUCACUAGAGCGUUCCU